UACGAAGGACCCAAGCGUUAUCCGGAUUCAUUGGGUUUAAAGGGUGCGUAGGCGGAUUGAUAAGUCAGUGGUGAAAGCCCAUCGCUUAACGAUGGAACUGCCAUUGAUACUGUCGAUCUUGAGUACAUUUGAAGUGGGCGGAAUGUGUCAUGUAGCGGUGAAAUGCUUAGAUAUGACACAGAACACCGAUUGCGAAGGCAGCUCACUAAACUGUAACUGACGCUGAGGCACGAAGGCCAGGGGAGCAAACGGG
rnacentral:rRNA from 1 species